AGAGGAGAGGAGAGGAGGGGAGCGAGAACGAGUGAGACAGAGGAGGAAGGGGAGGGAGGGGGAGCGGGAGGAGGGAAGGAGGGAGGGAGCGAGCUGUGUAAAUGGUGGGCGAGGGAGCGAGGGGGAGAUGAUUCACGCCGCCUCCGAGCCCCCUCCGCUCCCUGCCUGCCCUAGCGCUGCGGCUGGGCUGACCGCCGCUGCCGGGCUCUCAUGCUCCCCCUCGCUGCCGGGCUGGGGCGGGGGGACGCGGGGGUGUGAGCGUGUGUGCGAGUGUGUGUGUGUGUGCCUGGGGGCGUCCCUGGCUGCGCGGCGGGGCUCCGUUCCCGCCCCAGCCCCAACGCCUCCUUCGGACGCCCCGGCAGCCGCCUGCCUCGGCCGGCCGCGGGCACGAGCCCUCCGACCUCGGCUGCGCCGCAGAAACCCCCGAGGCAGGAGAGAUUUCAUGGGGACCAGGACACUUUAGAUGAAUAACCGAUGAUGCUGAGAAACCUCUGAAAUUCCAUAUACAUUCCACAACUUAGCAUUAAACCUCUGCAAAGCUGUAUUUUAAAGUGUUAUUGUUCACAAGGACUCAAGGGUCCUGCCCCACUAUGGCAUACUGCCUUGUUGACUGUUUCCUAUUCAAAUUUACAGAACAUGAAGAACAUGCACAGAAAAUAGCUAGACCUGCCAAAAGAGUCUACAGAUGUUUAAUGUGUUGGUUUCUGCAGUGGAAAGUCCUUUCUUCCCUCAGAAGUCCCUCUAAGGGAAAAAA